GAUGAACGCUGGCGGCGUGCCUAAUACAUGCAAGUCGAGCGAACGGACGAGAAGCUUGCUUUUCUGAUGUUAGCGGCGGACGGGUGAGUCACACGUGGAUAACCUACCUAUAAGACUGGGAUAACUUCGGGAAACCGGAGCUAAUACCGGAUAAUAUUUUGAACCGCAUGGUUCAAAAGUGAAAGACGGUCUUGCUGUCACUUCUAGAUGGAUCCUCGCUGCAUUAGCUAGUUGGUAAGGUAACGGCUUACUAAGGCAACGAUGCAUAGCCGACCUGAGAGGGUGAUCGCCCGCACUGGAACGUAGACAGGGUCAAGACGCCUACGGGAGGGCGCAGUAUGGAAUCGUCCGCAAUAGGCGAAAGCCUUACGGAGCGACGCCGCGUGAGUGAUGACGGCCCUCGGAUCGUAAAACUCUGUUAUUAGUUAAGAACAUAUGUGUAAGUAACUGUGCACAUCUUGACGGUACCUAAUCAGAAAGCCACGGCUAACUACGUG
rnacentral:rRNA from 1 species